rnacentral:rRNA from 1 species
CUUGCCAAAAGGCAAGAGUGACGGGCGAUAUGUGCAUAAACUAUAGCUUUUUCAGAUAAAAUUUUUAACUUUCUCUUUUUUUUAAGUCCUUUUUCCUAAUUUUUUCAUUCAUUAAUUCAAAUUUAUAAAUCAGUGUAUCCCAAUUAUGCUUACCUAUAAUCUUUGUAUUGAUUUGUUUUUUGACUGUCAAAAGUUUUUUAAAUUUUAGUCUUUUAACUUCUUUUUGUAACAAUAAUAUAAAGAAUAAUAAAGUGAGUUCUUUCAUAUCGUGGGUUAUCGAUUAUAAAUCAGGAUCCCCUAAUUAGUUAGAUUACCGCCAUAUUUUUUAGGUUUCUUUUAUUUAAAUACUACCUUAAAUUAAAAAAUAAAA